rnacentral:rRNA from 1 species
CGCAACGCGAAGAACCUUACCAAGGCUUGACAUAUACAGGAAUAUGGCAGAGAUGUCAUAGCCGCAAGGUCUGUAUACAGGUGGUGCAUGGUUGUCGUCAGCUCGUGUCGUGAGAUGUUGGGUUAAGUCCCGCAACGAGCGCAACCCUCGUUCUGUGUUGCCAGCAUUUAGUUGGGGACUCACAGGAGACUGCCGGGGUUAACUCGGAGGAAGGUGGGGAUGACGUCAAAUCAUCAUGCCCCUUAUGUCUUGGGCUGCACGCAUGCUACAAUGGCUGGUACAAACGGCUGCGAUACCGCAAGGUGGAGCGAAUCCGAUAAAGCCAGUCUCAGUUCGGAUUGGGGUCUGCAACUCGACCCCAUGAAGUCGGAGUUGCUAGUAAUCGUAGAU